AUUGAACGCUGGCGGAAUGCUUUACACAUGCAAGUCGAGCGGCAGCGCGGGGUAACCUGGCGGCGAGCGGCGAACGGGUGAGUAAUACAUCGGAACGUGCCCAGACGUGGGGGAUAGCCCGGCGAAAGCCGGAUUAAUACCGCAUGAGAUCUGAGGAUGAAAGCAGGGGACCUUCGGGCCUUGCGCGUUUGGAGCGGCCGAUGGCAGAUUAGGUAGUUGGUGAGGUAAAGGCUUACCAAGCCUGCGAUCUGUAGCUGGUCUGAGAGGAUGAUCAGCCACACUGGGACUGAGACACGGCCCAGACUCCUACGGGAGGCAGCAGUGGGGAAUUUUGGACAAUGGGCGCAAGCCUGAUCCAGCCAUUCCGCGUGCAGGAUGAAGGCCCUCGGGUUGUAAACUGCUUUUGUACAGAACGAAAAAGGCCUGGCUAAUAUCUA
rnacentral:rRNA from 1 species